CAGGAAGGAAUUCCCAAGUGCGCCUUCCUGGUCUCUCAAAAGGGUUCUGCAUUUGGGUAGUGGCAGCAUCUACCCAUCCAAGAAUCAGUUACAGAACUGUGCCAACAAUCAGCCCGACUGGGAGGAAGACAAGACUUCUCUGGGGGUGGUUCCAGCGACCAUUGGCACCAACUUCUGCUUGCGCUGCAAAGAAUAAAUAAGGAGCCUGUUCCCUGGAUACUUGUUGUUUUCCUCCUCCGCUGUUACCCA